CCUGAGGCCGCAGUGCCUCAGGGGCCCCGUUCUGUGGCAACCUCUUUGCUUUCUUUGCUUUGUCCGUCCUCAAGUUGGUGAGGCCUGAGGCAACUAGGUCAGGGAGCAAAGACCACGCGGUGACAGGCCAGGAGGCCGGCUUUGGCAAGGGCGGGACCGUGAGCAGGGCUCACCGGAAGCAGCUGCACCAAGGCAGAGCUGAGAUAACUGAGGCCUUUUCUCCGGGCACCUCAGAGCAAUUUAUUCUGCCUCGGCACACCCUUAGCUUCCAAAGCAGGGACUGCUCAGCCGCACAUUGGAGUCCUGGUGUCCAUAAGGAAGACCGAAGACGCUGGGCUGGGCACCUACAUUCUCAGCCAUUUCCACCUGCCCGUGCGUGAGAGAAGGUUUCGAUGGUAGGAAGGCAGGCAACGGGGAAACUGAGAGGGACGGAGCUCCCGAGAAGCAGAAAGCAGCAGCGCCCGCUCGGAGCCCUAGGGAAGAGUCAAAAACUACCAUUCACGAUCGUAGAUUUUCCAGCAGAAGGUGCCAGAACUCCAUCACGGUGCUGGUCAGCAUGCCGUGACCAAGCAGAGAGGACUCCCGGAGCAGCCGUCUCAGACACAAGGGUGGACACGAGCAUCUUAAAAGACUGA
ensembl:lncRNA